rnacentral:rRNA from 1 species
UACGUAGGGGGCAAGCGUUGUCCGGAUUUAUUGGGCGUAAAGAGCGUGUAGGCGGCCUGAAAGGUCAGCUGUGAAAACUCGAGGCUCAACCUCGAGACGUCGGUUGAAACCAUCUGGCUAGAGUCCGGAAGAGGAGAGUGGAAUUCCCGGUGUAGCGGUGAAAUGCGCAGAUAUCAGGAGGAACACCGAUGGCGAAGGCAGGUCUCUGGGCCGAUACUGACGCUGAGGAGCGAAAGCGUGGGGAGCGAACAGG